rnacentral:rRNA from 1 species
AAACCAACAGGGAUUGCCUUAGUAGCGGCGAGUGAAGCGGCAAGAGCUCAAAUUUGAAAUCUGGUACCUUCGGUGCCCGAGUUGUAAUUUGAAGAAAGCUAUCUUGGAGGUGGCCUUUGUCUAUGUUCCUUGGAACAGGACGUCAUGGAGGGUGAGAAUCCCGUGUGAUGAGGUGUCCAUUUCCGUGUAAGAUGCUUUCGAAGAGUCGAGUUGUUUGGGAAUGCAGCUCAAAGUGGGUGGUAAAUUCCAUCUAAAGCUAAAUAUUGGCGAGAGACCGAUAGCGAACAAGUACUGUGAAGGAAAGAUGAAAAGAACUUUGAAAAGAGAGUGAAAAAGUACGUGAAAUUGUUGAAAGGGAAGGGUAUUUGAUCAGACUUGGUAUUUAGCUAUCAUCGCUCCUUGUGGGUGGUGCUCUAGCUUUUUACUGGGCCAGCAUCAGUUUUGGUGGCAAGAUAAUGACAGUUGAAUGUGGCUCCUCGGAGUGUUAUAGCUUCUGUUGAUGUUGCCUACCGAGACUGAGGUCUGCGGCUUUUGCCUAGGAUGCUGGCGUAAUGAUCCAAUACCGCCCGUCUU